AAAUUGAAGAGUUUGAUCAUGGCUCAGAUUGAACGCUGGCGGCAGGCCUAACACAUGCAAGUCGAACGGUAACAGGAAGCAGCUUGCUGCUUCGCUGACGAGUGGCGGACGGGUGAGUAAUGUCUGGGAAACUGCCUGAUGGAGGGGGAUAACUACUGGAAACGGUAGCUAAUACCGCAUAAUGUCGCAAGACCAAAGAGGGGGACCUUCGGGCCUCUUGCCAUCGGAUGUGCCCAGAUGGGAUUAGCUUGUUGGUGGGGUAACGGCUCACCAAGGCGACGAUCCCUAGCUG
rnacentral:rRNA from 1 species